rnacentral:tRNA from 1 species
UGUAGUUUGGUGUAGUUGCAUGUUGUGGUUUGGUCGCAAAGGAGGUUAGUUGUUAGCUACAG